GGGGAUAUGGUGUAGUCUGGCCUAUCAUCGGGGACUCCAAGUGCCUAUAUGGGCUUGGACCAACCCCGAGCAGGAGAAAUCCCCGGACCUGGGUUCAAAUCCCAGUAUCCCCACCA
rnacentral:tRNA from 1 species